AAUAUACUCCCUCUGUUCGAAAUUAUUUAUCGCGGAAAUGGAUGUAUCUGAACGUAUUCAGUUUUAGAUACAUCCAUUUCUAUUCAUUUCGGCGACAAGUAUUUCCGGACGAAGGAAGAAUUUG
rfam:Triticum urartu cultivar G1812 contig809165, whole genome shotgun sequence.